GUGUCAGCAGCCGCGGUAAUACGUAGGAGGCGAGCGUUGUCCGGAAUUACUGGGUGUAAAGCGCGUGUAGGCGGAUGGCCAAGUCUGGGGUGAAAGCACCCGGCUCAACUGGGGAGUGUCCCUGGAAACUGGUCAUCUGGAGGACGGUAGAGGCGAGUGGAAUUCCCGGUGUAGUGGUGAAAUGCGUAGAGAUCGGGAGGAACACCAGUGGCGAAGGCGGCUCGCUGGGCCGGCCCUGACGCUGAGACGCGAAGGCGUGGGGAGCGAACGGGAUUAGAUACCCUCGUAGUCC
rnacentral:rRNA from 1 species